UACGUAGGGUGCGAGCGUUGUCCGGAAUUACUGGGCGUAAAGGGCUCGUAGGCGGCCAACUAAGUCGGACGUGAAAUCCCCAGGCUCAACCUGGGAACUGCGUCUGAUACUGGAUGGCUUGAAUCCGGGAGAGGGAUGCAGAAUUCCAGGUGUAGCGGUGAAAUGCGUAGAUAUCGGGAGGAACACCAGUGGCGAAGGCGGUUACCUGGAGCUUUGCUGACGCUGAUGCGCGAAAGCGUGGGGAGCGAACGGG
rnacentral:rRNA from 1 species